UACGAAGGGGGCUAGCGUUGUUCGGAAUCACUGGGCGUAAAGGGCGCGUAGGCGGUUCGUACAGUCAGACGUGAAAUUCCUGGGCUCAACCUGGGGGCUGCGUUUGAUACGUGCGGACUUGAGUGCGGAAGAGGGUCGUGGAAUUCCCAGUGUAGAGGUGAAAUUCGUAGAUAUUGGGAAGAACACCGGUGGCGAAGGCGGCGACCUGGUCCGAUACUGACGCUGAGGCGCGAAAGCGUGGGGGAGCAAACAGG
rnacentral:rRNA from 1 species